rnacentral:lncRNA from 1 species
UUCAAACCUUAUUACGUAGGUGUCAAUGUAUUGGAAAGAAAUCAUGUAAUGUGGGUUACAUUACAUGAUUUCUUCCGUUACAAAAAAUCGUUGUCAUUCAUAUGCAGUCCAUUUCUUCGUCAACAUGCCAUGAAGAGAUAUUAAAAUAUUUUCUUACAUCAAGGCUCCGCCUUCUCUACAUGCAUUUCCUUUCCAAUGACUCCUUUCCUCGAUCUCCUUCUUUCUUCAUAAUUCGUUUCCGCAAAUUGAUUUUUUGAGUAAGUCUACGAAGCUGUAUACUUCUCAAAUUGACUUUUUCCUCUUGAAGCUUCAUUUCAAGAGAAUGUUGUACAUCAACUAGACCCAUGAAACGAUCAAUGAUUUUAAGAAUAUCAAUGUUAAAUCGAAAUUCAAAUGCGUCAUGAACUACAUAAUAUGGCAAUCAAAAAAGGAAUCACAAUCGAUAAAAGUUGACCAUUUGAGAGUUGGAUUUUCAGUGGAAUACUUGGCUUCAGUCGAGGCAAGAAUGCAGAAAAAUAAAAGGGGAAGAGUUACCAUUCCGGCAUUAUGUAUUUUCAGGACGGCUGAUGCAGUUAUUUAUUUUGAAUAACAAGGGAUCUGAAUGGGGAUACAUCAAAUUAAUUACGAGUUUAAACUGUUCCGUUAUUUUAAAUAAUUCAAUAUACCUAAAAAAAUAUUUUUAUAUACGUGUAUUAUUUUAAUUCGACAUCUCCUAUGUAAAUUAUUCCAUUUGUUUAUGAAGUCAUAAGUGACUUUAAAUCAUGACUCAAAGUUUCCUAGAUGUAUAAGCUAAUAACUUAAUAUAUUAUGCAUUUAACAUUAUCGAUAUUAUGAUUCUAAAAACGGGAUAACAAUAUUUGAAAUUUUUAUAUUAUAAGUUAUAACCACCUA